AAAGAAACUAACAAGGAUUYCCCCUAGUAACGGCGAGUGAAGCGGGAAAAGCUCAAWUUUGUAAUCUGGCGCCUUUGGCGUCCGAGUUGUAAUCUCGAGAAGUAUUUUCCGCGCUGGACCGCACAUAAGUCUGUUGGAAUACAGCGUCAUAGUGGUGAGAACCCCGUAUAGGGUGCGGAUGCCCAGUGCUUUGUGAUAUMYUUUCGAAGAGUCGAGUUGUUUGGRAAUGCAGCUCAAAUUGGGUGGUAAAUUYCAUCUWAAGCUAAAUAUUGGCGAGAGACCGAUAGCGAACAAGUACCGUGAGGGAAAGAUGAAAAGCACUUUGGAAAGAGAGUUAACAGUACGUGAAAUUGUUGGAAGGGAAACGCUUGAAGUCAGACUUGCAUUUUGGAGUUCAGCCGCAAGGUGUAUUCUUCAAUUCGCAGGCCAGCAUCAGUUUUGGGGGGUGGAAAAUCGUGGUUUGAAGGUAGCAGUCUCGGCUGUGUUAUAGCUUUCCACUGGAUUCACUUUUCGGGACUGAGGAACGCAGUACGCUUUUUGCAAGAUUCUCGGAUCUUUCGUACUUAGGAUGCUGGUGGAAUGGCUUUAAACGACCCGUCUUGAAACACGGACCAAGGAGUCUAACAUGUUUGCGAGUGUUUGGGUGUCAAACCCGGACGCGUAAUGAAAGUGAAUGGAGGUGGGAUCCGCAAGGUGCACCAUCGACCGAUCUGGAUUUUCUAAGAUGGAUUUGAGUAAGAGCAAUUAUGUUGGGACCCGAAGAUGGUGAACUAUGCCCUGAAUAGGGUGAAGCAGAGGAACUCUGGUGGAGGCUCGUAGCGGGUCUGACGUGCAAAUCGAUCGUCAAUUUGGGGUAUAGGGGCGAAAGAACUAAUCGAACCAUCUAGUAGCUGGGUUCCUYCCGAAGUUUCCCUCAGAUAGCAGAAACUUCACAUCAGUCCUAUGAAGUYAAGCGAUUGAUUAGAGGGCCUGGGGUGAACAACUUCUCCAUUCUCACAAACUC
rnacentral:rRNA from 1 species